GGGGACGUAGCUCAGCUGGCUAGAGCACCUGCUUUGCAAGCAGGGGGUCGAGGGUUCGACUCCCUUCGUCUCCA
rnacentral:tRNA from 1 species